UACAGAGGGGGCAAGCGUUGUUCGGAAUUACUGGGCGUAAAGGGCGCGUAGGCGGCCUGCUAAGUCGAACGUGAAAUCCCCGGGCUUAACCCGGGAACUGCGUCCGAUACUGGUUGGCUUGAAUUCGGGAGAGGGAUGCGGAAUUCCAGGUGUAGCGGUGAAAUGCGUAGAUAUCUGGAGGAACACCGGUGGCGAAGGCGGAUCUCUGGGCCUUACCUGACGCUCAGGCGCGAAAGCUAGGGGAGCGAACUGG
rnacentral:rRNA from 1 species